rnacentral:sRNA from 1 species
AAUUUGUAAAAACAUUUAUACUUAUACUUACCUGUCUCUUCUAGUUGUGGUGGGCGCGACUGCUUUGGUACUCUAGCAUAGCCUCCAACCCAUUCAUCCUCCUGCCACUGGUGCCCAUCUAUCAACAGUGCCUCAAUGUAAUCAACCCUUGGAUCAUCAACUUCAUCAUCCCAUGAAAGAGAUGGAGGACAAACAUUAUCAGCUGGUUUCACAAUAUAGUUGACCUCAACCUACACAAAUAAGUAUGUUAACCAUAGAUAAUGUACAUUUACUUAUUAUGUACGUACAUACACAAUUUAACACACCUCAUCAGCAGCCUCACACUCCAAAAUGCGACAUGUCCGGAUUGCUCGCAGAGAGGCAAGACGAUGGAUAGACCUCUCAGCAAAUGUCCUGUUAGGUACAUCAUCAGGUCCUAGCUUAGCAAUUGAUGGGAUUGUUUUGAAAGCUAAAAGCUGAAGAGCUAAUGGGAAACCAUGGAGUGCAUAAGACCCUACAAGUAUACCCCUUAUUAGUUUCUGAGCAUCGUAAGGAGUUUGGAAAUUUGCUAUCCUCCCCAAAGUACGGGUAAAGGACACCCUUCCCCAUGGGUAUUUGCAGAAAAACUCCAGGUUCUUAGUCAUCUCGACAGUCUUCGAAGUAGGCAUGUUGGGGUUACUGUGGGCCGCUACCACACCGUCAACCAAAAUAAUAAGAGAUAGUGCCAGUUACUUCCACCCCUCCAUGCUUUCCUCCUCCUGCAGCCAGCUCACCAAAUCAGCAAUUGUUGGAACCGUGUCCCCAAACCUCUCACCAAACAGAGUCUUCCAAACACUCUCACACUCAGGUUUCACACUGAUAACAUCAUCAACGUCUUUCUUCUUGGGAUACUUCCCACAUUCUAGCCCAGUUAAGAUACUAAAUUCUCUUAGUCCAAAUCUGAUUGGAUGACCGCCGAAUACAAUCCACAUCUCAUUCACCUUCUUUGUCACUAACUGACGGCAUAUUAGUCCAAGGACAAGCUUAGCAUUGAAAGAUGCCUUGUUUUUGGGUAUUUUAAAAAGUUUCCCAAAUGGAGAAUCGAGAAGAAACUGCAUCUCUGGUUUCCCCUUUAGUACUUUUGCUAGGUCAGAAAUGUACUCCGGUUUAGAGUACGCGUUCAUCUUCGUCUCGGAAGGGUACCGGUCUAGAGCAAAGAGUCUUGGUGGUAACUCUUCAACUGUAAGAUCUUCAGUCGGAGCAACACUUGGACUACCUGCAAUUAAAAGUCAUAUACUGUUGAGCAAACAGAAGUAGUGUACGUACACAGACAUUUUCCAGAUUAUAACUCAAAAUCAUAUUUUUGGCGGAAACAGAGAUUUCCAAUUCUACUUCUCAAUUUUUCAUCCUAAAGAUAUGCUAAAUUCCGACAAAUUCUAACACUUUAAUCAAACAAGCUUUACAAUUCUGAUACACCCAAAGACAACAAACGGUAAAUUAGAGAUUCUAACCCAGUUCCUCCGUUACCUUUGUCGCAGAGCGUUUUCUCCGUGGGGAAACUCUUAAUACACGCUUCUCCUUCCCUGGACCAUGCUGCUUCCUCGGGACUUCGUCGUUAGCUUUAUUCCCAGCCAUAGCUAAAGAUGCUAUCUCGCCGGAGGUUCAAAUUUCGCCGGAAAAAACAGUAACUUUCUCUUGGUUUCGCCGGGAAAAACAGUAACUUUCUCUUGGCUUCGCCGGGAAAAACAGUAACUUUCACUUCACCGGAUGUGGGAGUUCAGUGGCACAAUUCAACUACCCAACAAUUCGAAGUUAUGUCGAAUUUUGAAGCAAUGGAUACUGAAUUUCGUUUCGCUUUCUGAUUCUCUCUCAAUCUCUCCGUUAUUCUCUUUUUCGUUUUCUCGGUUUCUUCGUUUCAGUUUUUUUUUUUUUGUCUUUUUCAAAACUGAACCGCAUCAACUAAACCGAAACCAACUGCUGUAGGGUUGUUUUGGCACCAUAACAUAUAACAUACUAAUAAUUGUUUUGAUUACUUAGAGUGACAACAUGAAGAAUGAAGGAAAGACUUAUACAAAACACACAAAUAUUUAGAAAUUUCAUCAUUUUGUGUGAUGCACUUAUAUUUAACCUUAGGACUCACUCUUCUCCGUUACUUCUUCUUAUAGCUGUUUGUCAUGUUCCUCGUUCUACCCUCAUACCUCAAUUUCUUCUUCUUCCUCGCAGACCUAGUUUCCUAACAAAACGGUCUCAAUAGUUCAAGGCUUCUUGAUACGAUCGAUGGUAUCAUAUCAUUGUGUUAUAGGAACCCGAGACGAGACAAAUUAAUCUGGCUUUGGUUUACCUUCGGUGCGGUGGUGCCACAUGUUUAUUAUAGCUUUUUUUCAUACAUUUUUUCUGGGUUAUUUAUUUAUCCAACAAUAUACUAUAUCUCCACAAUAAUACAAAACAUCUAUUGUUAAUAUAUGAAAUAACAAUUAGUGCGCUCAAAAACUCAUUAUUAAAAUAAUUAGAUCAAAUUUUGUUUAUAUUUAUUUUUUUAUUUUUGCUUAUGUUUUUCUAAAUUUUUGCAUUUUCUUCUCUUAUAUUUUGAGUUUUUUUUUUUGUUAUUCGAGAAAGUUAAAUAUCUAUAUAUGCAAUUAAACCAACCACUCACAUUAAAGGUAAUACUAGAGAAAAGUUCGGCGGCUAAUUUUCAAAUAUCUAAAUCUUUUAUGAAACAAAAAUUAUCAAUCUUGUUAUUUUCGGUAUUUUAGAACGAAUUAGAAAAAAAAACAUGAAAAAAACUUGAAAAAAAAAACUACCCUAUUUUAAGUUUUCAUUUGAAAAUAUAUUGUUCUCCAUUUUUAAU